rnacentral:lncRNA from 1 species
ACCAAGUGCAGACUCUUCACAUAAAUAAAAGGGGUGUAGUUGUAAUGUGGUAGUAACACUGUAUGGCCCAUGUCUGCCAAGAAACUUCAUUGCCAGGAUAACCCAGAGGCAAAGGUAAACCAGCCCUGUGACGGACACAGUGUGGCUUCGAACAUGCGGUGGGUGCGGAAGACUUGCCAUUCUAUGACCUAGGCAACAAUGUUACACUGGUGGAUUGUGGCUACAGGAAGAACACGGCUUAUUUCCCUUCAGUCUUCAGGACUUAUUUUAAUGCCCAGUCCUACUGCACAGAUGAGACUGGUUUUCAAGCAGCAGCUCCAGUCCUGUCCUAACCACCUGAUGGAUGGAUGGAAGGAAGGAAGGAAGGAAGGAAGGAAGGAAGGAAGGAAGGAAGGAAAUAAAUGAUAAGCAAGCCCAUUAGGCACUUUUAAAAACUUCUCCUUUUCUCUAGUUUUCUGUUGUGUCACUGCAGUGUGUCUGGGGACAAAGCCAUAAGAACAGCCUAUCUACUUAAAAUUCUGCUGUACAUAUAAGACGAGGGCUCGUCUGGAUUCAAGAAUGACCUUAUGCCCAAGCAUUUGCUCUGGUGCUGAAUAGUGCAAACUACUGGAAUCACCCCACCCCCACCAUGGAAACUCCGAAACCCUCUUCCCCUGAUCCCAAAUGGACCACAGUAUUCCAAACUUGUUUAUAAAUAAAGGGACACAGAGUCACA